UCAAAGCAUCCUUUGAUUAAUAAGCACUUGGUUAAGUAUCAAAACAGUUUCGAAACUGUGAAUGGACUCUGUAAAUAAAUAUUUUUAAAAAUUUAUUUUGAAGCCAGUUAUACUCUGGUUUUACAACAGACAAGAGAAAGUUAACAUUUUAACGAAACAACCGAGAGUUAACGUUAACUUGUUUGUGUUUUGUAAGAUAAGCUAGUUAGCAGCAGAGACGAAAUGAUGACUUUUGUCAGCAGCCAUGCUAAAUGACCAUCAUCAAAACAAGUGCAAUGGGACAUUUUGGAUUUGGAGAACUUCAUUUUCAAACUGACCACUUCAUCUCCAUGAAGUUAAAAGGAGAAUGUACUUCGACGUCAAAUAACAUACUUUGCCCUCUGUCUCAUCACACCUGGUUUUUUUUUCUCUCCAGUCUGAAUAGUUUUUUUCAUUUUUCAUCUUCUGGCCUGGGUUUCUGGUGACAGAUGGAGCCGUGGUGGCAUCAUUCAGUACUGAGGAUGGCAGCUCUCACCCCCCACUGCUGCCCCAUCUGGCCCCUCAGUGUAACUCUUGACCACAAUCGCUACGGAUACUGCGACCCAUCACCUCUGCCCAGGGUUCUCAUAACAGUCAUGGCAACCAAUUUGUCAGCUGGCUAACCAGCCGGCCGU